rnacentral:lncRNA from 1 species
AGACCCCGGAGUAGCCGGGACUACAGGCGCCUGUGCAAUCUCUAUGAAUCGGGCAGCCAUUAGAACCAAAACAGUUCUGAGGAGCUCCCAGGCUGCAAUGUGGUGCGAAAUGUUUUAUGGACAGAAAAUGGAAAUGAGGUGCAGAAAUUGGAGCCUUUCACCAGUGUAACCAUCCCAAAUUUGCAUCUUGUCUGAUGCUAACUGAGGAAGAAGGGCACCUGGAGUUUGACCAGCAGGAACAAAACAUGUUAAAAUUGUUGCAGAAGAUGAUGAGAUGAAAUUUCAGUCUUUAUUCAAGAUCAAGUGCAACUGUCUCUUUGAGGAAAGUCCUUUGACCGCCAUUUCUCCCCUUCAGAAGGCAAACACCUGGGGGAGAAGAUCUGCUUAAGGACCUGGUAACUGACAAAGAAUGGAAUGGGAGCGAGAACCGCCUAGCCAUCCCUUCUCCUUGCACAGUCAUGAAACAAAAGUUGAAAAGGAGCCUGGUUUUACUUGACCAGUCAUAAAUUACCAUAAAAUAAAAUGAGAUAUUAGGAACCUUUGAUCUCUGAAAAAGUAAUAUGUGUUGAAAAGAAAUAUCACUGUUACAUAUAGACAAAUAAUAGAAAUAUUUGAGGCAUGCAUUUAAAAUGUAGAGGCCACUUAUAGCAGGCAUAUUAACAUGUGCAUUUGCUUUUUAAGAAGUAUACACACGUGUACCUUUAGCUUUGAAAGGGUAAGAUUCAAUGCUUGGGUGAUGGAUGCACUAAAGUCUCAGAAGCCACCACUAAAGGACUUACCCACGUAACCGAAAACAACCUGUACUCCAAAAUCAAUGAAAUAAAAUAAAAAGGUAAGAUUCAUAAAUAGCAAGUUGAGAAUGCAUGUUUAUACCAUGUAGACAAUGCAUGA